GUUCCCCCCACGCCCGCACCCUCCGCCCCCGCCUGGGCGCCCAGCCGCGCUGAGUCGGCGGGCGCCCGCGGCCCGGGCGGGAGUGGCAGCGCGCAGGUGCAGCAGGGGCGCGGCGCGACUGCCCCGGGAGGCAGGAGGGGCACUCGGGGUCCCGCUGCUGCGCCGGGCCGGGAGGACCUCCGGGGACGCCCCCGGGCCGCGGCAGGCGCGCGGAGCAGGUGCGCAGCCCGGACCCCCAGGCCCUAGGCGAGGCAGAGCAGCCGCGGCUUCCCGGGAAGACCCCGGCUUUUCGGCGCCGCAGCCCCGCGCUCCGGCCGCCCCGUCGCCGGCUCCGCCUGCCCCCGCCAGGUUUCUGCGGCCCGCGCGCCCAGCUCCGGGCGGAGCUGCCGAGGGCGCCUGCCACCAAGCCCUGGGUAAGGAGCUCGCGGCCGCUGGUCUUUGGCGGCACUCAGCAGCCCCGGGUUUCGUGUUGGCUUUGCUUCUGGGGACUGAUUGUCAGCGCAAACGUUUGUCCACAGUUUGGUGAACUCCAGAAAGCCAGGGCGAUGCCCACCAAACUACUUCUUCCUCCCGGCUGGAUCCCUUGGGUCUGCUUCGUCAUCUGAUUCGAGUGCACACUGGAUGACAGGAAGACCUUGAAAGCACCGAUGUCAGAGAGGGGUUCCCAAGGAUCCCCUCUGGGGUCUUAACACCCACCGGGCUCGUCAAGGGGCCUGAAGGAAAAGCAGACUGUGAUUAUUUGUACAGGACUGGUAUCCAGAGGAAUACUCCUUGCUCCGAUGCCUUCUGUCCACUCGGGGCGGGUUAAACAGGAGGAAGCACAGAAUCCCCACUCUGCGGCUCACGCAGAUGAAGUCACACAUGCAAAUGAACUGCACUCUUCAAAGAGCUUUGGACACAACUGAAAAUAAACCAAGGGCAAGUAGGUAUCUUAGUGAAACACACUCCACGUUACUGCUGACGGUCCUAACCAACCCUUGCAUCAGACGUCUCUCCUCGGCCCUUACCUGCUAAGUCAGUUUGGCAAGAAGCCCCACCCUGGAUGUCUGAGCACCCUCAGAAUCGGAUGAGAUUGCUCUUUGCCACCUCCGCCCCUCCCCGGGAUCUCUGACCACAGGGUCCUGUCUUCAGGAAGAGCCCCCUCUGAACCCAGACGUCCCCUCUCGCUGUCCAUCCCGGGACAGGCUCCUUGGCUUGGCUGUAUUCAGACUGAAUGCACUUUCCCCUCUGUAGGAACCCCCUGCUGUUGGCCCUGUAUCAGGCAUCAUGGCCCUGGAUGAAAUCUUCACCAUGCUUUCUCAAGUAUCCUUGGAUUUUUUUUUUUGCUUUAGUACUGCCCCCUGGACUUUUUCAGUCUGAUGAUGGACCCUGUCCAGGAUAUGCUAUACAAAUGAUUGAACACUCUGCUACAAAAGUGCAUAGUCAGCAAAAGGAUUGAUAACACACUUUACGUUCAAAAACAAACUCUAGGGGGUAGGUACUUGUGUGUAGCCUGUCUUUGAAGAAAAUACAGAAGAGUAGAAAGAAUUGGAAAAUUCUUGUUACCCUACUGCCCACCCGAUAGGCCUAUGGGACAUUAGGCACAGUGUGCUCUGAGAAGCUGGCCCGGCACUUGGCACUCUGGGCUGCCACCUGGCCUAGAGCUGUGGCUGUGGCAGCCGAAGCUGCAACCGCAGCAGUGACAAGGGGCUCUUCAUGGAGGUGACCUGGCUCCCAUUCCAUCCCGGCAGGACAGCUCUGUGGUUCUGCCCAGGCUUCGAAUUCAGGAGUAUCAGAAAUGGUCACCUUGCAUCUUGCGGUCAGCCUAGUGAGCAGCUUACCACCAGAUAAAAGCCUGCACAUGCACCAAUGCCUGCGGUAGGGCAGGGGAAGUAGCUUUCUCCUUCCACCCUUCUUGGUUCUUGGCUAGGUCUCUGGAUCAAAUGAUAGAGUAAGAAGAGAAAAGCGUACACGUCUCUCUAAACCAAGUUGUUUGUGACUUGGGAGCCUUCCCGAGGAAAUGAAGGAGUGAAGAGACAGUUGCACUGAGUAGGUUUUGUACUAGGCUUGGUGGACAACAGAGAAUCAUGGGACUACGGGAUGGGACUACACAAAGACUUAAAGGUAAGUACACCAUGGAGGCUCCUCUGGACAUGCCCCACCUUUGCAAUAAGCUCUUCUUUUCUCCAGUAAGAGAGAAGACGCCUCUCCCCUGAGGGUCUUAGGACCUGCUUCAGGGGAAGGCCUGAGAGCCCUCCCUGCACCUGCCAUUUCGUGAAUUCCUGGUGUUUCAAAUCAUUCCAUAUGUCAACAUGUCAUAUCUGGGGACACAUGUUCGGAAUCGCAUCAAGAUCAAGGACCUUUUAGAAUUCUUCAAUGAAUUUACAAUCUUCAGCUUUGGAAACUGGCACAACAUCGCAAAGCAAAUAUCCACCGUCUCAGACAUCAAAUGUUAACAUUAUUAUGUAUGACAGACAAGAACACUAUUUUCAUACGAAUGGAAUUUUAAUUGCAUAUCAAUCAAAAAUCUACUUUUGGUGUCUUGUACAAUCUCCACAAUUCACAGGAAAUGUCAGAGGAAGCACUGAAAAACCAUGGAGCAAAUUAACAUUUAAAAUAAAUUGGACUUACAGCAAAAGGCUCUGUAUGAAGACGUCACUUUUUUUUUUUUCAGAAAGCAGUCCAUCAGAUUCAAUCCAUGAGUUCUAGACGUAUUUUAGAUUUUGAAGGAAUAGGGAGCAAAUUAACAUUUAAAAUAAAUUGUACUUACAGCAAUUUGUAUGAAGGUGUAAUUAUUUUUCAGAAAGAAGUCCAUCAGAUUGAAUUCAUGAGUUCUAGAUGUAUUUUAGAUUUUGAAGGAAUUUAUCAGAAGUUUAAUGUUGUCAUAGCCCAUAAAACAGUUCUAGUAACAGCUGGAUCAGCAGAAAGAUACUCCCAUAAAUCAGAAUAUCACACAGAAGUCCCGGCCAGAGCAAUGGCUGUGUCCGCAGUGUGACUAUUGGACAGCCUGGCUGAUGUCCCGUUACCAGUUGAUGUCACUGAAGCCAACACGGGAGGAGACGCUGAGCACAUCCCUGUGCAGGGUUCCCACCAGGCAGACAUGAUGGAUGAAGUGAGAUGCUCCCUGCUCACGGCCUAGGAAAAGCAGCUGGAGGUGGCCCAGGUAUUUGAGCUCCUGCAGGAUGAAGCUCCUGGCUCCUGGCUGUGCCCUGGCUCAGGUCUGACUAUUGCAGACACCCGGGGAGUGAACUAGCAGAUGGAAAAUCUCUUUGUGUCUCUCCCUCCCUCUUUCAAACAAACAAGCAAAACAAGCAAAAAUCUUUAAAAAAAAAAAUAAGUAAAAUGAAGCUACUGCAAAUCUUCCCAAACCUGCAAACAAGGACAUUCACAGUAUCUGAGUUUCUCUUCUUUAGGCUUCUUUUGUGUCUAACCUAUGAGCUAUCAUUUAAGAUCUAAUCUCUUUACUCUUCCAGUGUAGACGAAGAACAAUUCCGCAGAGAAAUGUUUUGUUUUCCUAACUCUUGUGGAAUAGUUAGCUUUUCAUAUAACCUUGUUGCUUGAAUGUCAAAAUGAACUUGACCCUUUUAAAAGCUGUCUGUGCAGCUUUAAUUUGCGGACUUUAACUGAACUCAGCAGAGGCUGUUCAGUAUCUAAAGUUUCAUCUCAGAAGAAACCAGAUUAGAAAAUGCCAGCCCUGCCCCACAGAGCCUGGCAGACACGGAAUCCUGGCCUGGCUGGGUCCGUGGUGGGAGCCGUCACCAGACAGAGGCUGCGGCACACAAAGGAAUGGAGGGAUUAAGGCAGAAUGUGGGCAGGCAGCCAGAGUCGGCAGGAGGCAAAACGUCAGUGGUCACUCAAAUGUGAGAGCCCGAGAAUCCGAGUCCUGAGACCAAAGUGUCUUGGAACAGAACGGGCGCUGGGGGUGUGGGCACAUGGGCCAGACUGGGGGGCUGCACACUCACCUCCAGGACACGGCUUGCUGUCCCAGGGCCGGGAUGGGCUCAGCAUCUCUGUGCUGGGCGACCGCAUUUCAGGUGCAUCACAGACACCCAGCACCUGCUCACCUGCGAUGGAAGGUGCCACGGGGAAGCUGCACUGGAAAGCAAAGUCCUGAGACGAGACUGUGUCCCGUGGAGGAAUCUGCAGUCACGUGAUUGGCUCAAACAGAUUCUGUCACCCGUAAGGAGUAGGAAAGCAACAUCAGGGGAAGUUUGCUUUGGCCUAGUGAGGAGGAAAGGGUUUAGAAAAAGGACAAAAGCCCAUUAGAAAGCAUUCGUGUUGCCAUGUUUAUCUUCAAAAUGUUUUCUUCCAUAUUGUGGUCUGGUUUCAUGUAUGAUAGCAUAACUUGUGAAUUAAUUAAUACUACUUUAACAAUUAUUCGGCGUAAAUAAUGUCAAUACUCUAUAUUCCUAGAGUCGGGGUCUAAACAGGUCACAACCAGGGGUGACACUGAAAAUUCCUUAUCCAGCCACUCAGGGCAAGGGCGUUGGUCAAGGCUGGACCAAUCAGAAUGGAGCCCCGCCUUAGACCUUGGGCAGCUGUUGGCAGGUUCAACAUUAACCCUUUAUUUUCAGGGAGUUCGGAGAGUACAGCAGGGGCUGGGCUAAGGCAGCAGAGCGUCGCCAUUUAUACGUGCUUUCUAGAAGUACUGCCAUAUUUUACUGACCUGUUUACAAGGCACAGCUCUGGGUGCCCACAGCUCCUGCGUACGGACCAGAGGACCGAAAGCACAGGAUGAGAGCACAGGGCUCUGUGGCCAGGCGGCUGGGGAGCGAACCUCAGAAGAGCCGCUGACCAGCUUGGGAGCUUGGGAAGCUUCAGCUGAUGUAAGAACAUCCAUGCCAGUAAAGUGCUUCAAAGAGCAUCUAGUGCAUAGUCAAUGCUCAUUUUCUUCAGCCAAUAUUUUCUAUUGAUGUGGUUAUUUGGAACACUGUACAGAACAGAAAAAAAUAUACUGUGUUUGAUUAGCAAUAUGUGUCAAAGCUAAGGAAAGCGAAGUGACAAGAUGGACCCUAGGAUGACCAGUUCCACCCAAGUCCAAGCCCAAGGUCUGGCUCCAACAUGUGGAGGGAAAGGUUCAGCAAAGAACCUGGCUGCUGAUUCCGGCUAGCUCAACAAGGAGAACAGAGGACGCCUGGCAUGGGACAAGGCUUCUUUCCUAGGUCCAUACUUGGUGCACUUCUGUAAAGACUGACUCGGUAUGAGCCCACUUGGAGAGCAAAGGGAAAGCCCACAGAAGAUCUUGAGAAUCUUCCAAGCAAGGUCUGUGCCCCCCAGGAGUUCCCCAGGCCCAGCCUCAGGAUGUCUCGUGGCACACAGAGCCCGCAUCUCGACUUGCUGUAAAGAAACCACCCAAAAACAGACUCACAAUGUGUCUGCUCACUUGUCCUGAGAGCUCGUGAGCCAAUCUCAUUAGCAAAGUAAGCCACAGACAGAUAGAUAAAAAGAAAUGAGAAAAAAGAGCAGAAAUCAAAGAAGUAUAUUGAAAUAAUCUGAAGACUGAAUUGAAUUUAAAAUAUUCCUAUAUAGAAAACUCGAAACCCAGAGGACUUUACUAGUGAAUUCCAUCAAAUAUUUAUAGAAAUAUAAUAUUUAUAGAAAUAGAAAUAGAAUAUUUAUAUUAUUAUUUUUAAAUUUUAAUUAGUUUUUAACAGAUUCAAUGUGCUUUGCAGAUAUAAUUCUAAGAACAUAAUACAGAUAGAGUUAAUUGUAUGUAUAUAAAGUUAAUUGAAAAUAGAUCUUAGUAAAAAUAAGAAUGGGAUAGGAGAGGGAAGAGGGGUUGGGAGCGGUGGUGGGAGGAUGGGUAUGGUAGGAAGAAUCAGUAUGUUCCUAAAGUUGUAUUUAUGAAAAGCAUGUUUGUAUUCCUUAAAAGGUUUCUGCGGGGAAAGAAAGGAACAUAAUACAGAAUUUUAUACUAUACAUUAUAUAUCACACAGAUAUUUAUAUAUUUAUAUUACUUAUAAUAGAUGAUGUUGUAAAUCUUAUAGAUAAGAUUUAUAGAGGAGCUGGCACUGCAGCACAGAGGUUAAGCCUCUGCCUGCAGCACCAGCAUCCUGUACAGGUGCUGGUUUGAGUCCCAGCUGCUCCUCUUCUGAUCCAGCUCCUUGCUAAUGGACUGGGAAAGCAGCAGAGGAUGGCCCAAGUCCUUGGGCCCCUGCACCCACGUGAGAGACCUGAAGGAAACUCCUGGCUCCUGCCUUUGGAUCGGCCCAGCUCCAGCCAUUGCGGCCAUUUGGGAAGUGAACCAGAGGAUAGAAGACAUCUCUCAGUCUCUCCUUCUCUCUGUCUGUAACUUUACCUCUGAAGUAAAUGAAAAAAUUUAAAAAAAAAAGAUUUAUUAUAACAUUACAACAGCAACCCCAUAUAAAAUAUUUCACAACACAGAAGAGGGAGGUAAACUCAUCAACUAGCCUUUAAGACCAGGAUUUUACAUUAUCAAAAUCAGAGCUAUUACAUGGAAAAAAAAAUUAGAGGGACUGGCGCUGUAGCACAGUGUAGCACUGCUGACUGCAGUGCCAGCAUCCUACAUGGGUGCUGGUUCAAGUCCCAGCUGCUCUACUUCCAAUCUAGAUCUCUGCUAUGAGCCUGGGAAGGCAGUGGAAGACAGCCAAGUGCUGGGACCCCUGCACCCAUGUGGGAGACCUGGAAGAAGCUCCUGGCUCCUGGCUUUGGAUUGGCCCAGCUCUGACCUUUGCUGCCAUUUGGGAAGUGAACGAGCAGAUAGAAGAUGGAUUUCUCUCUCUCUCUCUCUAACUCUGCCUUUCAAAUAAAUUUUAAAAACUUUUAAAAAAAGUUUAUUUAAAGAUAAUUAGAAACCAAAAUCUCACUUGAACACAGAUGCAAAAAUUUCCAGUAAGAUUUUUAAAAAGAUUUGUUUAUUUAUUUAAAAGGCAGAGUUAAAGGAAGUGAGGGAGAAACAUUUGGUUCAUUCCCCCUGAAGUCCAUAAUGAACAGGGCUGGGCCAGGCCAAAGUCAGGAGCCUGGAAUUCCACUGGGUCUCCCAGGUGGGUGACAGUGGCCCAGGGGUUCAGCAAUCUGCUGCUGCCUUCACAGGCACAUUAGCAGGGAGCUGGAUCAGAAGUGGAGCCGCUGGCACUUGGUGGGAUACUGGCAUCACAGACAGCGGCUUAACUCUGUGCCGUGAUGGCAGCCCCCAAGGGAGACGUUUUAAAAGAAAUGUUAUCCAUACGUAAGAAAGUAAAAUAUGAUCGUGUAAUACAUAUUCUAGAUAAAAAGUGGGUCUAAUGUGAAAAACCAAUUACUUGGUUAAUUUAAUCACUGUACUAACAUAAAAGAAGAAAAACACAAUAAUUUCAGAGACGCAGAACAAAUCAUUGAAAAUUUUAAGUCAUUCAAGGUAAAAAAAAAUUGUCAAUAAACUCCAAAUGAAAGGAAACUUCCCCAACUUGAUCAGGUAGGCCUCCACUAACACAGCUCUCAGCAUCCUCCUCUAAGCAUAAAGGAUGAUUUCCUUCCUAAGAGUGGGUACCAAUCGGGCAUGCUGUGUUCCCAGCUUCUCUCUCUCACCCUCCUGUUCAGUGCAGUGAGGCCUCAGAGAGAAACAGCACGAAUAUGCUGUAGAAAGGGUGCAAAGUGUCUUCAUCAGCAGAUUACAUGGUUUUAUAUCUAGAAAAUUCUUAGGAACCUUCUAGAAAGCCAGGACUCAAACAAGGAUGCAGGCAACAGCUGGACCCACUGGGCCACAGAGCUGUCCCCUCCCAGGAGCAGGGCCGUUUUCUGGGGGGCACUGCUGUGGAUCCACACCCCAGAAGCAUUCCAGUGGAACUGGUAUCUUGCUAGCGUUGGGAGAAAAGAAGCGGCCAGUUAAAUUUUCACAUGAAAUUUUACUCUAAGUCUCUUCCAUGGAAUGUUUAUUCUUUAUCUGAAAAUCAGACUCCAGUGGAUGACUCGGAUUUUUACAAGGGUAAGCCUGCCCAUGCUCUCUCUAGAUCAUGUAGUGAAUAAUAUAAUCCCAUGAAAUAACAGUGCACAGCUCAUUAAGUAUUAUAAAAUACACUCGGACCUCAAAGUGCCUUCUUAUCUUUCAGUCAAAUGUCAGUGUUGUUGUCCUGAUAACUGAUGAGACUCAAAUGUUGUAGGGAUCAAAAAAAAAAAAAAAGCAAAAA